rnacentral:lncRNA from 1 species
GCCAUAAAAAAUCUAAAAUGUGGGGUUGGGGAAACUCCGGUGAUAAAUUGUAUUUUUCAUACGGAAGGUUAAGGGGUGCGGAAAGGGGCGACUUGGCUAAGACCUGAAACUGACAGAAUUUCGAAUAGAAAAAGAAGGGUUACUGCGAGAUGAUCAGCGUUGCGAGCGGCUCUGAAAGGGUCCCCUGAGAGGUGAUGAAUUGCAGCGGAGCCCGGGAGCUGGGCAGCUUGGGCACCGUUCGCAUCCCCACCGUACUCCGGCACAGAGAGGCUGGAGGAAUGCGCGCCGAACAAGUGUCUGGGCAGCGCAGGACUGCGAGGUUAGCAGCAGCAGUGCCCACAGAGAAGCCUGAGAAUGAGAGGCAAUUCCUCCAGUCUCGGCAGAACAUCCCCAUCACAAAGGGACACCAGUUUGAUGGUACAACCGGGACACUGCAAGUGGUGAGGGUGACAGAGCUGAGGAGCCACAGGAGCAUGGUGGGGGGGCAGUAGUCCUCUUUAGUGGGAGAAGAUUGAGCCUCACAGCUGGGAUAUCCAGACAGUUGGCAGGUGGCCUCCUGAUCCCAUUCCCUUGCCGAGAAGACAAGGGAUUGUUAACUCCGUGUCGGUAGGAGUCAGGAAAUGAUUUAACACCCCUAGCUAUAACAGGCACA